AAGCUGGCCUUGCUUCUAUACCAAACUUGAAAUCAUACAGAGCGGACUAGCAUGAUCCUGCACAAGGGUGACAUACAAACUCAUGAAAUAUUCCACAUUAAG
ensembl:snRNA U6 U6 spliceosomal RNA